rnacentral:rRNA from 2 species
UACGUAGGGGGCAAGCGUUAUCCGGAUUUACUGGGUGUAAAGGGAGCGUAGGUGGUUCGGCAAGUCAGAUGUGAAAGCCCGGGGCUCAACCCCGGGACUGCAUUUGAAACUGCCGUACUAGAGUGCAGGAGAGGUAAGUGGAAUUCCUAGUGUAGCGGUGAAAUGCGUAGAUAUUAGGAGGAACACCAGUGGCGAAGGCGGCUUACUGGACUGUAACUGACACUGAGGCUCGAAAGCGUGGGGAGCAAACAGG